ensembl:lncRNA
AUGAAACAUCAGCACUUUCUGCAUACCCCCAGUUUCUAUAGCAUUGUUUCUCAGUUGUACAGUGUAUCUACUCUAAUUUCAACACUGCUUAUUACUUUAAAAAGUAGCUAUUAUUUCAAACCAGGAGGUAUUGAUUACAGAUGGAAUAACCUGGAACAAUGACUCACUUCCUCUACAGGGUAACUGAGUGAGCUUAGUAAAGUUUUAUUUCAUAUAUAUUUAUAUGAGGAGAGAGAAGAAAGACAGAGAGAGAGUUUCAAAUCAAGGGUGACCUGACGGGUACCAGAGACCUUUCUACACCGACCUGAGACAGUACGUGAGAAACUGGCUGUAAUUAUCUUCAAUCAAUUUUCUCAUUUGACAAAUCUCACUGUAUACAUUCAGCCUCCCAUUGCUGCUGUUGUCCAUGCUCCUUGUAGAAACGCCCACCUCAACCUAUUCAGGUUCCACCCUCCUCCUGUCUGCAUGACAAUUCCUGUGUAGCUACCUGAUACCUGAAAGUCUUUCAGGACGAGCUUUUGGUCUGGUCAAGCCAACUAUUUCAAGAAACCGGAGCUGAAUCAUGGACUACCAGUACAUGGUCUUCUAAUGCCAGGUUAUCUUAUCUAUGAAUCCAUAAAUCUAGGUACAUGUAGUAGCAGGAUUCUAUUGUUACUUGGAAGAUGUCUAUGGAAGGUCAGGUUCUAGAAAAUUUUGAAUUGCACAACAAUUUACAUGAGUAUGUGACUUAUGCUCCCAGUGCACCUACUUUUGCUGCAGUGACACGUCUUCCUGAACACACACCCAGGAGCCCAGGAGAAAUUCAUUAUAAUCUGUUGCCUGAGGAAGAAACAAUUUACUUUGAUUUAUGUGUUCUGAAAAUGUGCUGGUACCAGCUGGGAUUAGACUACUGGAGCAUUAAAACCUUCCUCAAUGGUAUUUUUGAAAGACAGUAAAGAAUGGAAUUUCUUUUAUUAGGCUGAACUUCAAGCUUUAUAUCUUUGCUGUACACUUUGUGGGGGGAAUUGUCUAAAAGUACCAAUCUACAAUGAUUCAUGGACAGUUACUAUUUUGUAAACAGUCCUGAAUUUGCAAUAAUCAAGAAUGAAGAGUUGGUUAUGAGGAAGUUUGUGUUAUGUGGGUGGAACACUUAAAUUAGUUUUAGAGUAAGACUGUUUCCUUCCAAUCUGAAAGUUCAUUAAUUCUUAUAAUAAUCAGAUGGGCAAAGAAGAACUAUUCUGUGCACUGUUUCAGCAGUUUUAAGUACUUGCUAUAAACUAGACACUGUUCUAUAUUCAAGAAUACAAACAUUAAAUAAAACAGACAAAAAUGCCUAUUUUUAUGUAACCUUCCUGUAGUUAUGGAGAUAAGGGACAUCAUCAAUAUGAAAAUAUACAUCAGAUAAUAUUUAGUAUUAAGGAAAUAAGCACAUGUUAGAAGUGGUAUAAUGUUAUACAAGAUGCCUAACAUAGCUGAGCAGAGACCAUAAAGAGAUGAGAGAGUAAAUUAUACUCCUGUAUGAGGAAAAAGCAUUCCAGCAAAAGGAAGAGUAAGCACAAAGUCUCUGAGGGAGAGUAAUUUCUUUUAUUCCAGAAACAUUGAAAAGGCCGGUGUGACUUGUAAGACAAGAGGAAUUUAGUAGGACAUAAAAUGAAAGAGCAAAAACAGUUAGCUAGAUCACUUAUAUUUUGAAGUUUGUUGAAAGAUAUUUGUCUUUUUCUCUCAGAGAUGUGGGAAACUGAAUAGAGGUUUAUGAGCAAAGAAGCAGCCUGAUACCAUAUAAGUUAAUUUUAAUAGGAUCACUCUGGCUAAUAUGUUGAGGGAAGGGUAGAAUGAGAGAGAGAAAUUCGCAAUAAUCCAGGUAAGAG